rfam:Ciona savignyi cont_62952, whole genome shotgun sequence.
ACUUAUCACCAUUCCAGAUAGAAUAUACCCGAUCUCGUCUGAUCUCGGAAGUCAAGCAAUCUUGGGCUUGGUUAGUACUUGGAUGGGUGACCGCUUGGGAAUACCAAGUGUGAUAAGCA